ensembl:lncRNA
GAGUUUGCAGCCCUUGGGGAAUCAGCUGUCGUUCCCCAACAUUCCCCCACCUGGAGCUGGAGAGAAGAGGGAUCAGAUGGGAGGGUGGCCACUCCCCACCACUGUGUGCACGCACAUCAGAGUCCUUACUGGAUAAUUCCCACCGACCCAGGCUCAAGUUCUGCCCUGUGAAGCAGGAGAAAAAGGGUGACAAGCCUCAGCCCUGCCUGUGCCCAGGGUGGUGAGGUGAUCAGGAACAGAACUAAGAGUUGGGUAAAGAGCAACGGGAAACGAUUCUGUUAGAGAACACGCACACAUACAUGUGCACACGGUCCAAGGCAGAAGGUAGCAGUCUGGCUGCAGACUCGGAAGCUGGCACCAGGUUUCAAGAAGUCUUUUUGUUUGGUUUGGUUUUGGAGAGAAAAGAGUUCCCAGCAGUGGAUCUGCCACGGCUGGAGCGCCGGGGACACGCGCGGCAGACGGCCGCAGAAGCCUCAAGGCUGUGCGCGCGAAGACGCGGCGUAGACGGGGCUCCCCAACCCCGGACACGCCAGCGGCAGGCUGGGAAGUCCAGGAAACCCCAGGUCCCCGUCGAAACCGCCCGGCACCCAGUCCCCGCCCGCAGCUCCGGUCCAGAGCGGGCCACCGGGCCCCGAUGUGUGAGAGAGCCGAGGGUUCCCCAGAGUUCCAGGGGAGAGAUUACCUCGAAGCGAGGGGAUGCAACCCGUCUGCGCGUCUGCGGGCACAGGGUCUGCCCCAAGCAGGCGCCGCGGCGCUGCCGGGCGUCAGGGGUUUGGGGUCCUCGGAGAGGAGCCGUCCGGGGGGCCGCAGCUCAGGGGCGCGGGGCGACGGCAGCGGCCAUGGCGAGUCACGUGCAGAGGCUGAAACUUUACCCGGAGCCCUAGACUGGGGGGGCGGAGGGUAUGGAGCUGGGGUGGGAGGGAGGCCCCCCUGCCGCAGGUCCGCC